AUUGAACGCUGGCGGCAUGCUUUACACAUGCAAGUCGAACGGUAACAGGCCGCAAUGUGCUGACGAGUGGCGGACGGGGGAGUAAUGCAUCGGAACGUGCCCCGUCGUUGGGGAUAACUACUCGCAAGAGUAGCUAAUACCGCAUACGAUCUAUGGAUGAAAGCGGGGGACUGUAAUGCCUCGCGCGAUUGGAGCGGCCGCUGUCGGAUUAGGUAGUUGGUGGGGUAAAGGCUCACCAAGCCAACGAUUUGUAGCUGGUCUGAGAGGACGACCAGCCACACUGGAACUGAGACACGGCCCAGACUCCUACGGGAGGCAGCAGUGGGGAAUUUUGGACAAUGGGCGCAAGCCUGACCCAGCAAUGCCGCGUGCAGGAAGAAGGCCUUCGGGUUGUAAACUGCUUUUGUACGGGACGAAACGGCUCUGGUUAAUACCCGGGGCUAAUGACGGUACCGUAAGAAAAAGCACCGGCUAACUACGUG
rnacentral:rRNA from 1 species